GUGCUCACUUCAGCAGUACAUAUACUAAAAUUGGAACAAUACCAAGAAGAUUAGCCGUGUCCCCUGCACAAGGAUGACAUGCAAAUGGUGAAGUGUUCCAUAUUUUU
ensembl:snRNA U6 U6 spliceosomal RNA